rnacentral:rRNA from 1 species
AUUGAACGCUGGCGGCAUGCCUUACACAUGCAAGUCGAACGGCAGCACGGGAGCUUGCUCCUGGUGGCGAGUGGCGAACGGGUGAGUAAUACAUCGGAACGUACCCUGAAGUGGGGGAUAACGUAGCGAAAGUUACGCUAAUACCGCAUAUUCUGUGAGCAGGAAAGAGGGGGAUCGCAAGACCUCUUGCUUUAGGAGCGGCCGAUGUCGGAUUAGCUAGUUGGUGAGGUAAAGGCUCACCAAGGCGACGAUCCGUAGCGGGUCUGAGAGGAUGAUCCGCCACACUGGGACUGAGACACGGCCCAGACUCCUACGGAGGCAGCAGUGGGGAAUUUUGGACAAUGGGCGCAAGCCUGAUCCAGCCAUGCCGCGUGAGUGAAGAAGGCCUUCGGUUGU